GAUAUUUGCUCGGUAGACCGACGGUCCA
rnacentral:sRNA from 1 species